rnacentral:rRNA from 1 species
AUUGAACGCUGGCGGCAGGCCUAACACAUGCAAGUCGAACGAGUGGCGGACGGGUGAGUAAUGUCUGGGAAACGGCCCGAUGGAGGGGGAUAACUAAUGGAAACGGUAGCUAAUACCGCAUACCAUCGGAUGUGCCCAGAUGGGAUUAGCGAGUAGGGGGGGUAACGGCUGACCUAGGGGACGAUCCCUAGCUGGUCUGAGAGGAUGACCAGCCACACUUGAACGGAGACACGGUCCAGACUCCUACGUGAGGCCGCAGUGGGGAAUAUUGGACCAUGGGCGAAAGCCUGAUCCAGCCAUGCCGCGUGUGUGAAGAAGGUCUUCGGAUUGUAAAGCACUUUAAGUUGGGAGGCGUUACCAACAGAAUAAGCACCGGCUAACUUCGUGCCAGCAGCCGCGGUAAUUC